rnacentral:rRNA from 1 species
GAGUNCAGAAGGGGAGAGUGGAAUUCCAUGUGUAGCGGUGAAAUGCGUAGAUAUAUGGAGGANCACCGGUGGCGAAAGCGGCUCUCUGGUCUGUCACUGACGCUGAGGCUNGAAAGCGUGGGUAGCGAACAGGAUUAGAUACCCUGGUAGUNCACGCCGUAAACGAUGAGUGCUAGGUGUUAGGUCCUUUCCGGGACUUAGUGCCGCAGCUAACGCAAUAAGCACUCCGCCUGGGGAGUACGACCGCAAGGUUGAAACUCAAAGGAAUUGACGGGGGCCCGCACAAGCGGUGGAGCAUGUGGUUUAUUUCGAAGCAACGCGAAGAACCUUACCAGGUCUUGACAUCCCGAUGCCCGCUCUAGAGAUAGAGUUUUUCUUCGGAACAUCGGAGACAGGUGGUGCAUGGUUGUCGUCAGCUCGUGUCGUGAGAUGUUGGGUUAAGUCCCGCAACGAGCGCAACCCUUAUUGUUAGUUGCCAUCAUUGAGUUGGGCACUCUAGCGAGACUGCCGGUAAUAAACCGGAGGAAGGUGGGGAUGACGUCAAAUCAUCAUGCCCCUUAUGACCUGGGCUACACACGUGCUACAAUGGUUGGUACAACGAGUCGCAAGCCGGUGACGGCAAGCUAAUCUCUGAAAGCCAAUCUCAGUUCGGAUUGUAGGCUGCAACUCGCCUACAUGAAGUCGGAAUCGCUAGUAAUCGCGGAUCAGCACGCCACGGUGAAUACGUUCCCGGGCCUUGUACACACCGCCCGUCACACCACGAGAGUUUGUAACACCCAAAGUCGGUGAGGUAACCAUAUAG